rnacentral:hammerhead_ribozyme from 1 species
AUCCAGCUGACGAGUCCCAAAUAGGACGAAAUGCGACUGGAU